CCAGAUGACGCCAUUUCACUGCUUGCUUUUACAUCCAAAAAAUGCCCGAAGUGCAGUGAAAUGCCGCCAUCUAGUGGCCUGAAAUAUGUAAUGUAGCCCAAUAUUUAUUAGAAAAGAAGCGACCGUCGAAUAAUCUUGUACUUCCUUGUCAAUUAUUUGUGUAAUCCUUCUGAUAUAUUGUUUUUCUUUUAAAAAUUCGUUCCUUUAUAAAUUGUGGAAUAUCAUUAAGGUACGUUUUGGAAUGUAAUUACUCUGACAUUCGACAUUAAACGACCACAAAUUUAGGCAAUGGCAGUCUUAGAGGCUGACACUUUGCAUAAAAUCUCUCCUCAUUGCUUCAGCCAAAUUAUGUUAUUCCUGCUCUAUGUUGUACCAAAAUGUAGUUUAUAAUCAAAGUGAAAUGGUUGCAAAAACCAUUUUGUUUAUAUGUUGAAUGGAAAUCAAUGGGAGCCGGAAAUCGCUAAAUAGCGGCGACCAAAGACUAGCCUAUUUCUCCGGAUAGCGAGACGACAGCGGUCCAGAGGACCGAUGAGGAAAAAGCAAGCGGAACGCCGAUCUGCCCCCAUACCAGGGGACCGACAGUGGUCCACAUGACUCAAGGUGCUGCUUCACUCUGCUACUGGUGGUGGAUAAGGCUGACUGCAACCGUUGGUCUAACGUUAUGGAUGCAGCACACGAGAAUUUCUAAACGGAUAAAAAGUAAAUGAAUGUACUUGCUUUUCAACUGA